rnacentral:rRNA from 1 species
CAGUAGCCACGGUAAUACGUAGGUGGCAAGCGUUGUCCGGAAUUAUUGGGCGUAAAGGGCUCGCAGGCGGUUUCUUAAGUCUGAUGUGAAAGCCCCCGGCUCAACCGGGGAGGGUCAUUGGAAACUGGGAAACUUGAGUGCAGAAGAGGAGAGUGGAAUUCCACGUGUAGCGGUGAAAUGCGUAGAGAUGUGGAGGAACACCAGUGGCGAAGGCGACUCUCUGGUCUGUAACUGACGCUGAGGAGCGAAAGCGUGGGGAGCGAACAGGAUUAGAUACCCCGGUAGUCCCUGUCUCUUAUAC